rnacentral:rRNA from 1 species
GACGAACGCUGGCGGCGUGCUUAACACAUGCAAGUCGAGCGGUAAGGCUCCUUCGGGAGUACACGAGCGGCGCACGGGUGAGUAACACGUGAGUAACCUGCCCCAUUCAUCGGAAUAACCAGUGGAAACGCUGGCUAAUGCCGAAUACGACCACCGAAGGCAUCUUCUGGUGGUGGAAAGCUCCGGCGGAGUGGGAUGGACUCGCGGCCUAUCAGCUUGUUGGUGAGGUAACGGCUCACCAAGGCGACGACGGGUAGCCGGCCUGAGAGGGUGACCGGCCACACUGGGACUGAGACACGGCCCAGACUCCUACGGGAGGCAGCAGUGGGGAAUAUUGGACAAUGGGCGAAAGACUGAUCCAGCAACGCCGCGUGAGGGAUGACGGCCUUCGGGUUGUAAACCUCUUUCAGCAGGGACGAAGCGAAAGUGACGGUACCUGCAGAAGAAGGACCGGCCAACUACGUG